CGGGAUGUGGCGCAGCCUGGUAGCGCGUUCGCUUGGGGUGCGAAAGGUCGUGAGUUCAAAUCUCGCCAUCCCGA
rnacentral:tRNA from 1 species